rnacentral:tRNA from 1 species
GGUGGCUCAGUGGUAGAGUGCUUGCCUUGCAUGCAUGAGGCUCUGGGUUCCAAUCCGCAGCACCA